ensembl:lncRNA
CAGUUUCUUAUCACUAACUGGAGGACCAAGAAGGUGUAUGUGUAUGCAAAGGGAAGAGUGCAGGGCACUACUGUUUCAUGUCUGAAUAGAGAUUAGAUCCUACAUGAUUCCUAAGAUCAAGGAAGCCAGAUUAGUUUUGAGAAUAUUCUUUACUCCUCUCCUCAGCUGCAUGAAGCAGAAUCUGUUGUACAGCUUCAUGACUGACAAAUGCAAAAGGAAGAUGCCAGAGGCAUAUUUGCUGCUGAAAGAUGAAAUUUGUGCUUUCAUAUUUGAACUGUCAGCUGUAAGCAGUUAGUAGACUUUGUGAUCAUUCAUCUCAUAGCAAUCACUAAACAUCCAACUGAUGGCGAUGAUUUCUCUGUUAUACUUCUGUUGGUUUAUUCAGGUUCCCUUGGCAGUAAUGCUUACUCUAGGCUAUAUUUAGACAUAAGAUGGAAGGAGACUUAAGUAUUUCAUUAAAUUUUCACCACUGACAUUUGUGAGUGAAGAAGAAGGAAGAAGUUACAGAUGAACCAAGUGUGCUAACUCUCAGCUUUAUCUAACAUACUGAAUGAUACUUAACCCUGGCUCUGAAGACACAAUUUCUCAUUGAUGUAUAUGCUUUCAUAUGAGGUCUUAAACUGACUUCUGAUGGUAAAAAUGGAGAUUAGAAGUUCCCAGUGCAUAUGAUUUUACCGUGACUGGCAUACAUGACAAGAAGAACACUCUUUUCCUACCACCUUUUAGUACGUAUUUCAAAGAUGCUGCAAAAAUUUUAUUUGCCAUCUGUUCAUUUCUAUAAUUUUGGACUGAGAAAUGAAGAUGCUGAACAUGAUGAAUACUCACACAGACCAGAAAUGCAGUGAUCAGGACUGUCCACAGUACUCAAGAUGUGUGGAGGAGCCUACUUAUCCAUCCCUUGAUGCCUGAAGUCUGAAAGAGAUAAUUGUGCGCCCACGUGGUUUGAGAAACUCCACAGUUUGGAAAGGCAAGAGUCAUUAGUGACAUGUGGUAUGGAAUAACCCUUUGGCCAGCUUAGGUCAACUGUCCUGGUUCUGUCCUCUCCAUCUCCUUGUACCUCCUCAGCCUCCUUCAGUGUCAGGAAAGUACAAGAAGCUGAAGCAUUUUGGGCACAACAACCCCAAGCAACCCUACGGACUUGAGGAGGAAUAGCUGGAAAGCUGCCUGACAGAAAGGGACCUUGUUGCACUGAUGGAUAGCCAGCUGAAUAUGAGCCAGCAGUGUGCCCAGGUGGCCAAUGUAUCAGGAACAGUGUGGUGAGCAGGAUUAAGGAAGUAAUCCUGCCCCUGUACUUGGCACUGGUGAGGUCCCACCUCAAGUACUGUGUUCAGUUUUGGGCACCUCAGUACAGAAAGGACAUGGAAGUGCUAGAGCAGGUCCAAAGAAGGGCAAGAAAGCUUGUGAAGUUCUUGAAGAACGUGCCCUACAAGGAGUGACUGAAGGAACUGGGGCUGUUUGGUCUGGGGAAAAGGAGGCUGAGGGGAGACCUUAUUGCUCUUUUCAAAUCACCUGAAAGGUGAUGUCAUGGUUUAUGAUUUUUGUUAUCUGUAUUCCACAUCAUAACAUCAUGUAAAGCAUGUGGAAUUAGAGAGUCAAUACUCCAGUUCUGUGGGCUGACAACUUUCCAGAUACCUGGUUCUCAGAAGAGAGGCAGAACUACAUAUCACAGAGCACUUCACAUUCAGAGGGGAAGAUGAGACCCACAAGUCACAAGACUCUCUCUCCCUCACUCCCUGACAGUGUGUAUGUGUGCACUCCCCAGACAUUUCACCUUCAGUUCAGCAUAUGGCCUUUUGUUUUGGGCACACUCUCAUUUUAUUUGAUUUAUUAGCCUCCACUCCAAUCACAUUGUGUUAUACUCUAUUACCUUGUAUUCUGAUAUAUUUAGUAAAAUUAACUUUCCUCUUCAGAUCAUUGCCACUGUUCUGCUCUUGGGCCCUUCUCCCUACCUUUCCCCCUCUCCCUUUUUGGGCCCAUGGGCCUGCAGGCCUGCUGUUCCCCCUGUCAUAGACACAGAUUGAUCUAGAUAACUGUGACAGGUGAUUGCAGCAAGAGUGGUACUGGUCUCUUCUCACUGGUGACGGGUGACAAGAUGAGGGGAAAUGGCCUCAAGUUGCACCAGGAUAAGAUUAGGUUGGAUAUCAGGAAAAACUUAUUUACAAAAAGGGUGGUUAAGCACUGGAAUAGGCUCCCCAGGGAGGUGAUUGAGUUAGCCUCCCUAAGUGUGUUUAAAAACCAUUCAGAUGUGGUGCUCAGGGACAUAAUUUAGAGUUUGGGUAAUAUGAUCACAUUGCAAUUAAUUAAAAUUGCUCGCUAAUGCCUGUACUGAUGCGAUGUUUGCUUUUGUUACCUAGAGUUCUCAAGAAACAAUGGUAAUGUUGCCUUGCAUGCAAGCCUAGAACUGUUCUGAAAAGCUAGGACUGUCAAAAAAAAAAAAGAAAAAAGAAAAGCAGCUAGCCAGAGCAGGGCUGCAGUCAUUUGAGAAACCCUAUCUGUGUUUUGCACAUAGGAUGGAAAAGAAAUAGGCUUCAGGCUGAAAUUAGAGGGCAGGGUCCCACACUUCAAGGCACAAUAGGAAGUUAAAUGCACACAUGGUACAUGAUUUUCCAUUGACUUGCUCUCGAUUGCUUUCAACUCACCAGCUGGAUGAUUAGGAGUGUUCUCAGCAGGUGGUUAAUUUCUUUGCAUGCCAUCUAUGGGUGGAUUUUAUGUCUAUGCCCAGGGAGGGGGGUGGGGGGGGGGGGGGAGGAGGGGGUCUUUGUGUUCUUUAGGUACAACUGACACACUCUUGCUUUCACAACUGAUAGCAAUGCUUCAGAAGCAUAGUUCUGCCUGAGGUAAGAGGGGAUUUUUGAAGAACUAACCUGAGGAGGAUUGCAAAAUAAAUGCAGGGCAAUCAUUUUAAUUACAUAAGAUGCUGCACAUGUCUUUCAAAGACUUCUGGAUAACACAAGUGCUAUCAGUCUACUCCUUCCAGAGACUUAUCUUUAAAGUCCGGUGAUAGAAAGUGAGACAGAUACUGCAGUUUCUCUAAAGAUAGUGCUUCUAAAAAAAAAAAAAUCUUAGAGCUGCUAAUCUCUCAUGCUCUGCAUGCUGUGUGACCAGACAGGUGUUUUGUGAAGAACCCUUGGGGAAAGUCCACACUGAUAUAAAAAGGAAGAAGUUUUCAUUUCAUGAAUCACUAGAUUGGCAGUGAUCCAUUACAGCUUGUCACAGAUGUUAUGGAGCAAAACCAAGGUACUGCCCUGCAUUUUAUACCCCUGUGACUGGAAAAUUUGAACCCAGGGAUUUGCAAGUUGGGUGACUCUAGCUGUAAUCACCCACAGCAAUCUUAUUAACUAUUAAUAUCUUCAGCAUUUUGGACACUUUUUCUUAAAUGUCUUCGAAACUGGUUUUAGAUAUUAACCCUUUAAGAUUCUCCCAGUGUUAACUACUCUCUCCUGUCAGAGAAGUAUAAUGAUUUUGAGUAUCAUACAACAGCAUUAUUCAUGGAAUAAAUGCAGUAUCAAAUUGCUGUACUGAAGGAUUUGUGAGUUAAUCCCUGUACAGCGAUAAAGUAGCUCUCAGAUAUACACUGUAUACCAUAGAUACUAGAAAGCCUGGUAUUACUUUAUUAGUGAUAAUACUAGCCAGGGGACACAUUUGUGCCUCUCAUCAGGCUCAAGCCAGAAUUCCAUGAAUUUUCAGGAGAUACAAGUGGUGAAAACUGAGGUAGCUAAGAUGAUUGCAUUUCCUUACUCUUCCUGCCUCAGAAUAGUAAAGGACUAAAGGAAUGUCUUUAUGAAACAUAGAAAACAGCAUUCCUCCAGAAUGCAGAAUAUUAAUGUGGAUAAAGGAGGCUUUUUUCUAUCUUGGCAAUCAUUCUUCUUUCUUAGAGACUCCUCAGUGGAAGAAAUAUUUCCACAAGUUUUGAGGUAGCCAUAAUUGACUUUCUCUCACUAUUAUAUGUAUGGCUAUUGCAAGUUUUUACUGGGUAUUCUUUUAUUCCCUCCCAAAAUCUCUUCCUAAAGCUGUUGUGCCAGCCUCACAUUAGUAACUUGAAACACUUCCCUGAACUUUAAGGAUAAUGUUUUUGUAACCUAUUUGCAUAGCAUAAGGAUAGGUGGCAGCAGAUAUAGUUGCUUUAACCACUUCCGGAUCACCCAAGAAAAACAGUAGUCACAGUUCAGUAAAAAAGAAAAAAAAUCACUUACCCCUUUCCAAGAAUUAGAGCUUACUAAACACUCUAAAGAAGAUGAUCUCCAAGUAGAGAUACUUCCCUUGUGGCGACCAGACCUUAAAUAAGGUUAGGGAGUGGCAGACCCAGCGUUCACUCCUUUUGGCCACGCAUGUGAAUUGCUUCCACCUGUGCUCCCAGAGCUGGCUACGCCCCUUCACCAGGUGCUCAACCACUGCUUCAAGUCAUAACCUAACAUUUCCCAUACAUGAGAUAUUUGUACUAUGAGUUAAACAUAAAAUUAUCUUGUUUUAAAUGAAAUAAAUUCCUGAAUAAAUUGUAUAUAAAAAAUACUCCAUGUUGAACUUGGCCUUUAUUUACUUCAUUGUUGUAGGAUUUUCUUCAGACUGUUUCUAGCUGUCACUAGUGUCAUUCGUUGCACACUGUGUGAGCAGAAUAUAUUCUGUCAUUUCUGCAGAUAAGGUUUUUGACCUUGUGAAAUUCUGAAAUUUUAUUUCAUUACCUUGAAAGCUACGAUUUAGCAUAGUGAACAUCAGGCAAUCUGUAGUACUUAAUCUACUAGCUCAGCAGAACACCAAAUUAAUUCAAAUUUGAAAAAAACCUCUCCAUCUGUAGCAAAAGCAUUUUCUCAAUUACAUACUGAAUUAAAUAAGAGGUAGAAAUAUUUCUGAAAGCUUGAAAUUUAUAGUUUCAUUAGACUGAAAAACUAAACCUAAAAAUGUGUAAAAAUCUACAUUAAUCAUUUAGGUUUAGCACAU